rnacentral:tRNA from 1 species
UCCCAAGUGGCUCAGUGUUAAAGAAUCUGCCUGCCAAUGCAGGAGACCUGGGUUCAAUCCCUGGGUUGGGAA